rnacentral:rRNA from 1 species
UACGUAGGGCGCAAGCGUUGUCCGGAAUUAUUGGGCGUAAAGAGCUCGUAGGUGGCCUGUCGCGUCGGCUGUGAAAACUCGGGGCUCAACUCCGAGCUUGCAGUCGAUACGGGCAGGCUAGAGUUCGGCAGGGGAGACUGGAAUUCCUGGUGUAGCGGUGAAAUGCGCAGAUAUCAGGAGGAACACCGGUGGCGAAGGCGGGUCUCUGGGCCGAUACUGACACUGAGGAGCGAAAGCGUGGGGAGCGAAUAGG